ACGACGCUGGCGGCGUGCUUAACACAUGCAAGUCGAACGAGGUCCACCGCGUAGCAAUACAAGGGAAGACCUAGUGGCGAACGGGUGCGUAACACGUGAGGAACUUGUCCCGGUCUCUGGGAUAACAGUUGGAAACGACUGCUAAUACCGGAUGACGUCGGAGCAUCGCAUGGUGCGCUGACGAAAGGGUUACUGGAUCGGGAGAGCCUCGCGGCCUAUCAGCUUGUUGGUGGGGUAACGGCCUACCAAGGCAUCGACGGGUAGCUGGUCUGAGAGGAUGAUCAGCCACACUGGGACUGAGACACGGCCCAGACUCCUACGGGAGGCAGCAGUGGGGAAUUUUGGACAAUGGGCGAAAGCCUGAUCCAGCCAUGCCGCGUGAGUGAAGAAGGCCUUCGGGUUGUAAAGCUCUUUCAGCCGGAAAGAAAUCGCGCAGGAUAAUACUCUGCGUGGAUGACGGUACCGGAAGAAGAAGCACCGGCUAACUACGUG
rnacentral:rRNA from 1 species